UACGUAGGGUGCAAGCGUUAAUCGGAAUUACUGGGCGUAAAGCGUGCGCAGGCGGUUAUGUAAGACAGUUGUGAAAUCCCCGGGCUCAACCUGGGAACUGCAUUUGUGACUGCAUGGCUAGAGUACGGUAGAGGGGGAUGGAAUUCCGCGUGUAGCAGUGAAAUGCGUAGAUAUGCGGAGGAACACCGAUGGCGAAGGCAAUCCCCUGGACCUGUACUGACGCUCAUGCACGAAAGCGUGGGGAGCAAACAGG
rnacentral:rRNA from 1 species